rfam:Salmo salar isolate Sally breed double haploid chromosome ssa05, whole genome shotgun sequence.
UGGCUCAGUUGGUAGAGCAUGGUGUUUGCAAUGCCAGGGUUGUGGGUUCGAUUUCCAU